rnacentral:rRNA from 1 species
GUGGACCGUUAUCGGAUUACUGGGCGUAAGCGCACGCAGGCGGUCUGUUAAGUCAGAUGUGAAAUCCCCGGGCUUAACCUGGGAACUGCAUUUGAAACUGGCAGGCUUGAGUCUCGUAGAGGGGGGUAGAAUUCCAGGUGUAGCGGUGAAAUGCGUAGAGAUCUGGAGGAAUACCGGUGGCGAAGGCGGCCCCCUGGACGAAGACUGACGCUCAGGUGCGAAAGCGUGGGGAGCAAACAGGAUUAGAUACCCUGGUAAA